GACAGAGGAUGCAAGCGUCAUCCGGAAUGAUUGGGCGUAAAGCGUCUGUAGGUGGCUUUUUAAGUCCGCCGUCAAAUCCCAGGGCUCAACCCUGGACAGGCGGUGGAAACUACCAAGCUGGAGUACGGUAGGGGCAGAGGGAAUUUCCGGUGGAGCGGUGAAAUGACGCAGAUAUCAGGAGGAACACCGGUGGCGAAGGCGGUUCUCUGGGAAUAUCCGUGCGUGAGGAGCGAAAGUGUGGGGAGCGAACAGG
rnacentral:rRNA from 1 species